rnacentral:tRNA from 1 species
UGUCUCGUGGUGUAACGGUAGCACUAGGGAUUUUGACUCCCUCAGUCCUGGUUCGAAUCCAGGCGAGACAA